rnacentral:rRNA from 1 species
AGAGUUUGAUCAUGGCUCAGGAUAAACGCUGGCGGCGUGCCUAACACAUGCAAGUCGAACGCUCCAAGGGAGACCUUGGAGAGUGGCGGACGGGUGAGUAAGACGUGGGUCAUCUGCCUUUGGGUGAGGAAUACCGGCGAGAAAUCGCCGACAAAACCGCAUGAGCUCGGUGAAAGCCGAGGAAAGUCGUGAGACGCCCG